UCCACCCAUAAAUCUCACAUUUGGGCUGUGCAGGUGAAGCCAAAGGGUUCCUGGCACUGGGAGGUGGAGCUCAGGAGAAUCCCAGAGGCUGUGGAUGUGAUGUCAAAGGAUUCCUGGCACUGAGAGAUGGAGGCCAGGAGAAUCCCAGAGGCUGUGGAUGUGAUGUCAGAGGGUUCCUGGCACUUAGAAAUGGAGCUCAGGAGAAUCCUAGAAUGUGAUGUGAUGGCAAAGGGUUCCUGGCACUGGGAGGUGGAGCUCAGGAGAAUUCCAGAGGCUGUGGAGUUGAUGAGGGCAGAAGUUGCUCUGACCCUCAGCCCUCCCCUCUGACAGACUCAGUUCCCUCUGGAAUGGCAGAUCCAAGCAUGGAGAUCCAAUUAGGAGUGGUUUUCCCCUCCUUCUGCUUUACUGGGAUAACUCCCUGACACCAGGUAUUGUCUCUGAGAAAAGAGGAAAGCUGCUGUGCAUUCCUGAAGACUCCCAGGAAAUGUGAAGCUAAACAAGAAUGUCCACUGAGGAACCUUUUGAUAUUCGGGAAUAAGCAGGUGCCAGUAUUAGGUGCUCAGAGCCAGAUGUGACUCCAGCCCUACUGUAAGGAACAAACAACAAUAGUAAAAGGUCUGGAAAGGAAAAUAAAUUCAUUUUUCCAUGUCAA